GGGGGGCGGGGGGGGGGGGGGGGGGGCGGGCGGGGCGGGCGGGGGGGGGGGGCGGGUGUGGGGGGGGCGGGUGGCGGGCGGGGGGGGAACACGUGGGUGACCUGCCCUUUGCUUUGGGAUACCUUCAGGGACCUGGGGCUCAUACCUGGUCGGAGCUCCUGCUGCCUGGUUGGGUUGGAAAGGUUCGGCGGUUGGGGAUGGACUCGCGGCUUAUCAGCUUGUUGGGGGGUUAGUGGCUUACCAAGGCUUUGACGGGUAGCCGGCCUGAGAGGGUGACCGGCAACAUUGGGACUGAGGGACGGCCCAGACUCCUACGGGAGGCAGCAGUGGGGAAUAUUGCACAAUGGGCGGAAGCCUGAUGCAGCAACGCCGCGUGCGGGAUGACGGCCUUCGGGUUGUAAACCGCUUUCGCCUGUGACGAAGCGUGAGUGACGGUAAUGGGUAAAGAAGCACCGGCUAACUACGUG
rnacentral:rRNA from 1 species